UUAAAAAGCUCGUAGUUGAAUUUCGGGAUUAGUACGUUGGUCGUGCCUUCGGUACGUACUGGUGUUACUGAUUCCUACCUUCUGACGAACCAUCAUGUCAUUAAUUUGGUGUGGCGGGGAAUCAGGACUGUUACUUUGAAAAAAUUAGAGUGUUUAAAGCAGGCUCGCGCUUGAAUACAUUAGCAUGGAAUAAUGAAAUAGGACGUUGAUCCUAUUUUGUUGGUUUCUAGGAUUGACGUAAUGAUUAAUAGGGAUAGUUGGGGG
rnacentral:rRNA from 1 species